rnacentral:rRNA from 1 species
CUAAUACCGUAUGAUGCAGAGAUGCCAAAGAUUUAUCGCCUUGGGAUAAGCCCGCGUCAGAUUAGGUAGUUGGUGGGGUAAUGGCCUACCAAGCCUGUGAUCUGUAGCUGGUCUGAGAGGACGAUCAGCCACAUUGGGACUGAGACACGGCCCAAACUCCUACGGGAGGCAGCAGUGGGGAAUCUUGCGCAAUGGACGAAAGUCUGACGCAGCCAUGCCGCGUGAAUGAUGAAGGUCUUAGGAUUGUAAAGUUCUUUAGCCUGUGACGAUGAUGACGGUAACAGGAGAAUAAGCCCCGGCUAACUUCGUGCCAGCAGCCGCGGUAAUACGAAGGGGGCUAGCGUUGUUCGGAAUUACUGGGCGUAAAGCGCGCGUAGGCGGUUUUACAAGCCAGAGGUGAAAUGCCUGAGCUCAACUUAGGAAUUGCCUUUGGAACUGUAUGGCUUUGAGGACGAGAGAGGUGAGUGGAAUUCCCAGUGUAGAGGUGAAAUUCGUAGAUA